rnacentral:lncRNA from 10 species
UACCUCGAGUAUCGCCAGUCCCAGAGGCAAACGGAAGAGGCCUAGGCAUCCAGAAGUGCGUCCCCAAAGCUCCCGCGCAGGAGGAAUAACCGUCACUUCCGCUUGCCUCUCAUUGGUCAGAGUGAGUCACAUGGUGGCAUGACGUCAAUGGGGGCAGGGCCAGCAUCCUCCCGGGUGCCCGCCCUAAGCCUCAGCGGAGCCGCUGGGAGGUGGAGGCGACUUACCGUGGCAAGCCUGGGUGGGUGGGCAGGUGGGUGCCCCUUACUGCUGAGAUAAGGCUGUUCAGGGAAGCAGCCUCCUGACAGUGCGUGAUGAGCAGGCGUGUAAAUCCCAGUGCUAGCCAGGAUCCAGGAAAAGGCCAGGCUUUCCCACCUGGCAGGACACCGUCCCUCUGCCGCAUAGGACUCUGUCAGCCCGUGGAAAUGGGUGCCACUUUGCAAGCGGGCAAGAUGCUUCUCAGCCCACUCCAGAAUGCCUGUAUCUGCUGACCCUGGAAGUGCUGUCUCCAUCAGGCCCAAAUCCAGAAGUCCAAUCUGCCCCAAGAAGGCCCUCGCUUCUCUCUGGAGUUCAAGAGAACCUUCUGGGUAUUCCAGAUACCUCUGACCAACCAAGGGUGAGAGCAACCCCCACAGAGUGGUGUCACAUUAAAUAUGGCACUUAGAGAA